rnacentral:rRNA from 1 species
AUUAAACUGAAGAGUUUGAUCAUGGCUCAGAUUGAACGCUGGCGGCAUGCCUAACACAUGCAAGUCGA